AACGUCGCAAGACCAAAGAGGGGGACCUUCGGGCCUCUUGCCAUCGGAUGUGCCCAGAUGGGAUUAGCUGGUAGGUGGGGUAACGGCUCACCUAGGCGACGAUCCCUAGCUGGUCUGAGAGGAUGACCAGCCACACUGGAACUGAGACACGGUCCAGACUCCUACGGGAGGCAGCAGUGGGGAAUAUUGCACAAUGGGCGCAAGCCUGAUGCAGCCAUGCCGCGUGUAUGAAGAAGGCCUUCGGGUUGUAAAGUACUUUCAGCGGGGAGGAAGGUGUUGUGGUUAAUAACCGCAGCAAUUGACGUUACCCGCAGAAGAAGCACCGGCUAACUCCGUGCCAGCAGCCGCGGUAAUACGGAGGGUGCAAGCGUUAAUCGGAAUUACUGGGCGUAAAGCGCACGCAGGCGGUCUGUCAAGUCGGAUGUGAAAUCCCCGGGCUCAACCUGGGAACUGCAUUCGAAACUGGCAGGC
rnacentral:rRNA from 1 species